UACACAGAACAGUGUGCUAAGGCACCUCUGA
rnacentral:piRNA from 2 species